rnacentral:rRNA from 1 species
UCGUGUUUUGAAAUGUCUGGUUGAUUCCGUUAACGAACGAGACUUCCGCCUUUAAAUAGAGUGGAUAAGCGAGUGCUGCAGAGUUUGAGGUCAAGAGGUGAGCCCGGCUGCUCAAGAAGGGUUUCGUCCCCUUGGGAGGGUCGACUGUGCUGUGCUCUGGCUGAUCUGCUUACCGCUUGUUCAAGUGAUUCUCUUCUUAAAGGGACAAAUGACAAAAAGUCAUGGGAAGUUGGAAG